rnacentral:lncRNA from 1 species
UGAAGAAAUUAUAUACGGGUAUAUCUAAAACAAAAAUUUUGAGAAAGAUAUAGGAUAUUUCUUAACUUUUGAGAGAUACUAUAGUAUACUGAAUCUUAGCAAAUAAGUAAUAUUAUAUUGUCAGUUAUUAGUCAGCAUGUUUGGUGGGACAACCCAAUAAUCCCACAUCAGAUAGUUAUUGCUAAAUAUGGGAGUAUAUAAGCUUGAUUAGGUUAGACAUAAUAAUUGGGCUUAAGCAUUUUGGGCCAGUCGUUUGGGCCCAACGAGUUAUUGUUGCUAGCGGAUCGAUCGUUAUAUUUGGUAUCAGAGCUAAUUCAUCAACCAGAAGUGUGAGAUAAGUCUUGGCUAAGCCAGGAUCGGAAUGACAAACUAAGCAAGGGUCGGUGAAUGACAGGCUAAAUCACGGUGAAUGCUAAGUCAGGGUCGGAAUAACAAGACUAGCGAGACAAUUAAGUCUCACAUCGUCUGGUGAUCGUGGGCUAUUUGUGUGUUUAGGGCUGACGAGAAUGUUAGGGCCUAAACGGGGGGAGUCUAUGACACCCCAAUAAUCCCACAUCGGAUAGUUAUGGCUAGGUAUGGGGGUAUAGAAGCUUGAUUAGGCUAGAUAUAAUAACUGGGCUUAAGUAUUUUGGGCAAGUAGUUUGGGCCCAAUAAGUUAUUGUUGUUAGCGGGUCGGGUCGUUACAUUUGUGCCACACCCGAUCUCGCAGCGGAAGACU